rnacentral:lncRNA from 1 species
AUGAGAAAGAAUGGGCGGGUGCGGAUAUUACUACUUUAGGUAGGAAAAAUAAAAUUAAAUUUUUUCAGAAAAUAAUAUCUUUUACUAUAUUAUUAAAAGUCACCUAUAAUUAUGUUGAGAUAUUUGAUAAAUUCACGGAUAUUACUACUUUAGGAAAAAUAAAAUUACGUUGAGAAAGAAUUGGCGGGUGCGGAUAUUACUACUUUAGGUAGGAAAAAUUAAAUUAAAUUUUUUCAGAAAAUAAUAUCUUUUACUAUAUUAUUAAAAGUCACCUAUAAUUAUGUUGAGAUAUUUGAUAAAUUCACUGAUAUUAUG